AGUGAACGCUGGCGAUAGGCCUAACACAUGCAAGUCGAACGGCAGCACAGUAAGAGCUUGCUCUUACGGGUGGCGAGUGGCGGACGGGUGAGGAAUACAUCGGAAUCUACUUUUUCGUGGGGGAUAACGUAGGGAAACUUACGCUAAUACCGCAUAAGACCUACGGGUGAAAGCAGGGGAUCUUCGCACCUUGCGCGAUAGAAUGAGCCGAUGUCGGAUUAGCUAUUUGGCGGGGUAAAGGCCCACCAAGGCGACGAUCCGUAGCUGGUCUGAGAGGAUGAUCAGCCACACUGGAACUGAGACACGGUCCAGACUCCUACGGGAGGCAGCAGUGGGGAAUAUUGGACAAUGGGCGCAAGCCUGAUCCAGCCAUACCGCGUGGGUGAAGAAGGCCUUCGGGUUGUAAAGCCCUUUUGUUGGGAAAGAAAAGCAGCAGGUUAAUACCCCGCUGUUCUGACGGUACCCAAAGAAUAAGCACCGGCUAACUUCGUG
rnacentral:rRNA from 1 species